CUCAUUUAAGACUUUUACUCAUUUAAGACUUUUAAUAGGAGUUAAUGGUUUAAGGCUCAAUUUAUAAAGUGGAAUACUGGGUACCUUUUUUUUUUGGUGUAUUUCUUGUGUAAAUAUUUACGUAUUUAAAAUUUGCUUCAUUAAACUGAUUUUUGCAGUCUUCAGAGCAGACAAGUAAGAGGAAAGAUUGCCCAUCACCAUUUGAGCAGAAUUUUUUUGUGUUAACACAUGCCUAUAUGGGAGGUUUUAUCAGGUGCUGAAGAAAAAACUGAUCUUUUGUUGGCCAAAUGCCAGCCUUUCAGCAUAAGAGCAGGUAUAUAUUUUUAUUAAAGGUAAAGCAGCAAUAUUUCUUGGUUAAACAAGGCUUUAGACUCCCAUUUCUUCCCAAAGUAUAGGCUGGGUUGUAUGAGGCCCUGCUUGGCUUGAAGAGCUUGGUGAGGCUCACCUGAGGCCCUGUCCCACAACCCUUGCCUGCAUGCCCAGGCCUACUCACCCUUGGGUGGGCCUGCCAAGCUGCAGGUGCUCCUGUGCCAUCCAUUCAUUGCUGACUGGCCUUCUGAGGUGGACUCCAGACCUGUUCUGAAAGUGAAGCUUUAUUAAAGAGACACUGCUGGGAUAAUUUUCUUCAAUUUUGAUUUCUGGGCAUAUGCUGAACAUCUGUCUCUACAGGGAACAUGACAACUCUGGGAUAGCUGUUUUAUCUCUAGGAAGUCUUCAAACAUCACAUGAAUCAAGUCUACUGAGAGCAUACUGCACAAAGCUUAACAACACAAUUUCAGAACAGUAAAAGAAAAUGUUUUUGAAGGAAAAGUGUUUCUGCC
rnacentral:lncRNA from 1 species